rnacentral:rRNA from 1 species
GAUGAACGCUAGCGGCAGGCCUAACACAUGCAAGUCGAGGGGCAGCACAGAAACAGCAAUGUCUUGGUGGCGACCGGCGGACGGGUGCGUAACGCGUAUGCAAACUACCUUAAACAGGGGGAUAACGGAGAGAAAUUUCCACUAAUACCCCAUAACAUCGAUCAAGGCAUCUUGAUUGGUUGAAAACUCCGGUGGUUAAAGAUGGGCAUGCGUUGUAUUAGGUAGUUGGGGAGGUAAUGGCUCACCAAGCCUACGAUACAUAGGGGGACUGAGCGGUUAGCCCCCCACACUGGUACUGAGACACGGACCAGACUCCUACGGGAGGCAGCAGUGAGGAAUAUUGGUCAAUGGGGGCAACCCUGAACCAGCCAUGCCGCGUGCAGGAAGACGGCUCUAUGAGUUGUAAACUGCUUUUAAACAGGGAUAAAGCACAGUAUGUAUACUGUGUUGAAGGUACUGUAAGAAUAAGGAUCGGCUAACUCCGUGCCAGCCGCCGCCGUAA